UCCGAAAUAAUGGAUAUAAAG
rnacentral:piRNA from 1 species